UACGUAGGCAGCAAGCGUUAUUCGGAUUCACUGGGCGUAAAGGGUGCGCCAGGCGGUUGGGUGUGUCAGAUGUGAAAUACCCGAGGCUUAACCUCGGAACUGCGUCUGAAACUACUCGACUAGAGUACUGGAGAGGGAAACGGAAUUCACGGUGUAGCAGUGAAAUGCGUAGAUAUCGUGAGGAACACCAGAGGCGAAGGCGGUUUCCUGGACAGUUACUGACGCUCAGGCACGAAAGCAUGGGGAGCCAAAAGGG
rnacentral:rRNA from 1 species